rnacentral:rRNA from 1 species
UCGAGAAUUUUUCUCAAUGGGGGAAACCCUGAAGGAGCGACGCCGCGUGGAGGAUGAAGGUCUUCGGAUUGUAAACUCCUGUCAUUGGUGAACAAAGCCGCGCGUUAACUGCGAUGCGGAUUGAUAGUAGCCGAAGAGGAAGAGACGGCUAACUCUGUGCCAGCAGCCGCGGUAAUACAGAGGUCUCAAGCGUUGUUCGGAUUCAUUGGGCGUAAAGGGUGCGUAGGCGGCGGGGCAAGUCUGAUGUGAAAUCCCGGGGCUCAACCUCGGAACUGCAUUGGAUACUGCCUUGCUAGAGUACUGGAGAGGAAACUGGAAUUUACGGUGUAGCAGUGAAAUGCGUAGAUAUCGUAAGGAAGGCCAGUGGCGAAGGCGAGUUUCUGGACAGUUACUGACGCUGAGGCACGAAGGCCAGGGGAGCAAACGGGAUUAGAUACCCCCGUAGUCC